rnacentral:rRNA from 3 species
UUUAUUGGAGAGUUUGAUCCUGGCUCAGGAUGAACGCUGGCGGCGUGCCUAAUACAUGCAAGUCGAGCGAAUGGAUUAAGAGCUUGCUCUUAUGAAGUUAGC